rnacentral:rRNA from 1 species
UACGUAGGGCGCAAGCGUUGUCCGGAAUUAUUGGGCGUAAAGAGCUCGUAGGCGGUCUGUUACGUCUGCUGUGAAAACCCAGGGCUUAACCCUGGGCUUGCAGUGGAUACGGGCAGACUAGAGGCAGGUAGGGGAGAAUGGAAUUCCCGGUGUAGCGGUGAAAUGCGCAGAUAUCGGGAGGAACACCGAUGGCGAAGGCAAUCCCCUGGGCCUGUACUGACGCUCAUGCACGAAAGCGUGGGGGAGCAAACAGG